GCUGUUUAAAGUUUGCUGAGGAUGAGCUGGUUUGGGGUGGGCUAUUUUGGCUCCCAGGUGAUGAGGUUGAUGGAAUCCAACAGGACAACGCUCUGCUGACUCCAUCUUGCCCAAUGUCUACCAGCCACUCAUUUCCUCUUCCCCCCGACCCCGACUCGUCCUCUUCUGAAGGGUCAAAAUGACUUUAUUUUCCUUGGAGGACCCCGCUUUCUUCAAGGGCUACUGUUUUCCUCAACCAGCGGAGAGAUCAUUUCAGGGAAAUCAUCACGACGGAAGAACAUCUUCAGAGGUGAAGUGGGAUUGGAAGUAGCCAGAAUGGAUUCCUUGACACUUUUCCUGAAGGACCAGGGGUGGGACUCCUCUAGCUGGGAGCCCAACUGGACACUGGAUCGACACCGGAAUGAUUCAGUAGGCUCGGUGGAGGUGUUCACCGCCUGGAGGAUAGCAGCCCACGGGAAGAAGGGAAAAGAGAGUUUAGGCCAAAACGCUUCUUUGGCCUGAAAAAACCAUCGUCGGGG
rnacentral:lncRNA from 1 species